UCCCUCUCUCCCUCUCCGUAGUUCAAUUGGGCAAUGAUUUUAUUGAGAGUUGUAUUCAAGAUUUCAUUUUCGGCAGAUACCGAAACUUUCAUUCAAACCUCCAAGAUUUCAUCUUCCUGUCUCUCCCAAAAACUUGUGGGUAGCAAGCAUCUGAGUUGAGCAUUUCAACUGUACAAAUAUGAACUACAAAACUCUACCCAAAAUCCAAUCCCAUCGAAAACCAAGCUGAGUCUAUUGACGAAGUGCAGCUGGUUGAAAAUUAGACUUGAAAAGUCACCAUCACACAAAUAUCCAAAAGCGCAGAGGAUCAAUCCUUCUUUCAUAAUAAAAAGUGAAACAAUUUUCUAACCAUCUCAAUCCCAUUGCUUAAUUACAAAGGAUACGUUCUAUCAUUGCCUCGCUUCUCAAGUCCCCGGCUCCAAACUGUAAACACCAGAUUAGGUCGGAGAUUCAAAUCAAUGAAUCAGAAGACUUGUUACAGGAUGACAAAGGCAGUCUAUGUAUGGAGAGAGAGGGAGGGGGUAAGAGGGAUAGGCAUGGGCUGGGGGGAGGCAGUGGCGGGACGGUGGAU
rnacentral:lncRNA from 1 species